UACGGGGGGGGCAAGCGUUGUUCGGAAUUACUGGGCGUAAAGGGCGCGUAGGCGGCCACCGCAAGUCGACUGUGAAAUCUCCGGGCUUAACCCGGAAAGGUCAGCCGAUACUGCGGGGCUAGAGUGCAGAAGGGGCAACUGGAAUUCUCGGUGUAGCGGUGAAAUGCGUAGAUAUCGAGAGGAACACCUGCGGCGAAGGCGGGUUGCUGGGCUGACACUGACGCUGAUGCGCGAAAGCCAGGGGAGCGAACGGG
rnacentral:rRNA from 1 species